rnacentral:lncRNA from 1 species
CUCUACUCAUCUUGCUGGAUCGUGAGAUGAUGAAGGGUGCUCCUCACCCAAGAUGCCAGGAGUCUCCCCAGUCUUGUGGCCUUCACAAAGCAAGUUCUCUUUCCUCAUGUCUUCCAGAACUUUCUCCAGGACACAGGAGAUGCAGAGGAGAAGGCAGCCCUGGUAACCAGGCGCCCAAUAUGACCAAACCCGUUCACAACGACCUUCACCAUCUUGUCUGUGAUGAGGCUGGCACUGCCUGAGAGGAUGCAGCUGUCUCUGGAACAGGGAGGAGCAGAGAGCCGUGAGUUUUAUUUUUAAUGGCUACGUUUCUGUGACUCUUUCCUUUGCUAAGUUCACCCUCACAGGCACAUGAGGUAAGGACUCCAGAGCUGUCUGUGUGGUGUGCUGAGGUCUGGGGAAGCCACACGUGCAGGUAGAUGGAGUUCCACAUAGUUUUCUUUUCUGAAAUCCGGACUCUUCCAGACAUUGACGUUGCUGCUCCUGAUGCUAGAGGACACAGUCCUCUGAAGCACACAGUAAAUUCUUCUCAAUCCCAUAGAAACCACCUUCCAAGUCCUUCUCAUAGAUCAGGGUUCCAUACAUUCCAAGGAUAGCCCCACUAUGCUUAGAGGAACAACCUAGCAGGCCAGGUUCUCCUCAGGGAGAGCAAGACCUGGGCCUUAAUAGGGCCAGGUUUCAGCAGAGCCCGAUGGCCAACCUGGGCUCUGUUCAAUCCCCCUGCCACUGGCUUUCUAGCUCGCUUCUUAUUCUUUGUGCCUGAGAAACUGUAGCAUGGUUUCCCUGGCUGUGGCCUGGGGAAGAAGAGAGGGCGGGAUUGCAAGGAUGUUACCUUUAAACGUGUGCUCACGCAUACCUCAAAGAGCUGGGAGACCCACUGAUGCUUGUGGGUCAUCAAGCUGAAUGUCUCACGUAGGAAGGAAACGUUUUCCUUUCAUAUUGCUCUGAAAUGGCGGCUGGGCUGUAACAUAUCAACACUGCUUGUUCAUUAUGUAAAAAUACAGUGAAAGCAAUUCAUUGCAAUAUUAGAGAGCUUUUCGUCCUCUCUCAGUCUCUCUUUGGUGACAAGUA